GACGAACGCUGGCGGCGUGCUUAACACAUGCAAGUCGAACGGAAAGGCCCUGCUUUUGUGGGGUUCUCGAGUGGCGAACGGGUGAGUAACACGUGAGUAAACUGCCCUUAACUGUGGGGUAACUUCAGGGAACUGGGGCUAAUACCGGAUAGGAGCUCCUGCUGCGUGGGGGUCGUUGGAAAGAUUCGGUGGUGGGGGAUAGACUCGCGGGUUAUCAGCUGGUUGGGGUGGUAGUUGCAUACCAAGGUUUUGAAGGGUAGGCGGCCUGAGCGGGUGACCGGCCACAAUGGGACUGCGAUACGGCCCAGACUCCUACGGGAGGCAGCAGUGGGGAAUAUUGCACAGUGGGGGGAAGCCUGAUGCAGCAACGCCGCGUGCGUGAUGCCGGCCUUUGGGUUGUAAACCGCUUUCGCCUGUGACGAAGCGUUAGUGACGGUAAUGGGUAAAGAAGCACCGGCUAACUACGUG
rnacentral:rRNA from 1 species